CGUAGUCUCAACCUUACUCUCAAACGUCUUGAGUGGGACACGCACUAGUGUCAAAACUUAAUUUUAAUGUGCGCGCACCAACCUUCCCCAAGCCAGUCGAGCUCUGUGAGGGCGGGGACUUGGGCAAAAUCAAAAAUCACAAAACGCCAAGCAAGAUACUGAACACAGCAGGCUCACGCUAAAGACAAAUAUGAAGGGUCUUUCUGCAAUAACUACACCAAAUUUUUAUCUAAACUAAAUCAGUCUCUUUAGCAUACCCGCUCACAACUCGAACCACUUCCUACCCACGCAACGAACUCCGCACCGACUUAGAAAGUCACUCACCCCAGCGCUAGAGAAAAACAAGGAAGUUUAGACGGCGCGCUAGUGACGUCACACGCACGCGGCGGCCCAGGUCUUACGCAUGCGUACACGGUCUCUAGGGCUAAACUUACUGCUCCCAGGCCGUGGAGGACGAACUGCAUGCAUGAUGAUGGUUCCUAGGCCUAAGGAAUGGAAAAGUCAACAUCACAGAGUUCCCUUGCUGAACACUGAAGGUAUUUUAUUCAUUUUUCACCUGUAUACAAUAACAGUAAGACUGUCUAUGGCUAAAUGACAGUGUAUCUUUUCUUCCCACAACUUUCCCAUCAAAGAUUAUGUGUUGUUAGAAUGAUAGGGUUGUAGCCUGCUGUAUUAAUUAGAGGAUAAAAUGCCAUUUGUGUUGGCCCUACUUUUAUCUAGUUCUCAAUAGUAAAAAAUUAGUCCAAGACAUCUUUCCUAUGAUUAGAGCAGAAUAGAAAUGAUUACCAUAUAAUCACAUUUGAAAAACCUCAGUUUAAUUAGGGUAUAUUCAACCCAGAGUGCAGUGUCAGAGUCUGGCACAGCCAAGGGAAUAGAACAGAUGGAGAAAAACAAAUACUCUGCCAUGCCUACUUAUUUUCAUAUUAAGAUGAUAUAAAUGGGUCCAAGGUCUGGAGGCGUGUUUGUUUAACAGUCUUGUAAGUGUACUAGAAUAAUUUAAAAAAAGAUAAAAAGGAAAUACAUUCUUUUUGUUUUGUGUUUUUACCUGACCAGUAAGAUUUUUUAUAUACUCCAAGUAAUCUCCUAAUUCUAUCCAUAUCAGACUUCCAAAUGCUAAUAAUAUUAACCUCGAUCAAUCUCAUCCCCAGUUUUUCCUUAUCUUAGAAAUGCCUCUUUUUUUUCCCAUUUAUGCCUGAUUUUCUUUAUAUCAAGUCAUCUAUUCCUCCAUCAAAAAAAUCCUAUCCUCUUUGCCACAAUUGCAGAUUCAGGAAGG
rnacentral:lncRNA from 1 species